GCAGUUUUGACAGAGGUUGAAAAUAGACAGAAUGAAAUGUCUUUCUGGAAUAUAGGACGAGCUAAAGAAACUGACAGAUUCAUUGGGAGCUUGGCAGCAACUCAGGCCAAGUUGAAUGAUCUGCUUAACAAACAACAAGCAGAAAAAGACCACCUCACCAAGAUAUAUGGGAAGGCUACUAGUUCAUUUGGUCAGGGAGCACUGAGAGAGAGGCUGAUGUCUUUGGCCUCCUGUCAGAGGCGACUUCUUGACCUCCUGAGGAAGCAAAAUGAAUUGAAGCAGAAACUCCAAACCUACAUUGACAAUCCCAAGUGCUGGAGUAAAACACCCCCAGUUAUGUCCAUUCCCCAUAAUCCAUCUGGUAACAAGCACAAAGGAAGGGAUGUUUCAAGAAUAUACAGUGCCACUGUAAAGCCUAGACUGACUUCAGUGGGUGAAAGAUGUGUGAACCAGCCAGCAGAUGUCAACUAUGACAACUAUAACACACAUAUAUCCAAUGAAUGCCGAAAGACAUCAGCAAAGACAUCAGAACAUGAAAACGAAACCAAGACAACUUGCACGUUGGAUAAAAGCCAACAGCUAUUCACCCUCAUUACAAAUGGCAU
rnacentral:lncRNA from 1 species